CUUUGGGCCUUAUCCCCUCGACCGAAUCGAAGAGAAGUCAUUCCCUUUUCUUCUUCUUCUUUCUUCUCAUUCUUUCUUUCUCUGUGUUUCUUCUUCUUUUUCUUCCUCCUUCUGUUCUUCGCCUUUGGCGAUUCUGAGAGAUGUUCUUGGGGUUAUAAAAUUAAUAAGAGAGACAUAGGGUAAAACCUCGAGGGAUGUUUGAUGGUGGUGGUGUUGAUGUUAUUUGAGCUCGGGAGAAGGAGUUGAUGUUGCUAUAAUUGAAAUUAGGGUUUUGAGAAUGAAUUCGAGUUCUCAGGUGAAUUUGUGGGUUGUUGGGAUGUUGUUAGUUGAAGAUUAGAAAGGGUUAUUGUUGAAUCAAGGUUGUGAAGUUGUUGUGAUGAUGAAUCUAAAAAGUUAAUUAGGGUUUCUCAGGGCAACCUCAGAGAAGAAUUAAGAGUUCGAUUUGAUGAUAAUUAAGAAGAAAUUGGAGAUGGGUUUAGUUAAUUGAAGUAAGGGUUUUCGUUCAACUGAUAAUCUGAAGUGGUCUUGAAGUAAUCUGAGAAGUUAAGGUUUGAAGUUUUGAACCAGAUGUUGAAUUGCAGCUGACGAAUAACAUGGAUUUGAUUCUCGUGUUAAGAAGGUGAUGGUGAUAUUAAUGAUGUUGAAUCAAACCCAGGAAGACUGGAAAAAGGGUUUCUGUGAGUUUAAUUUGGAAUGGAAUUCUAUUAAUAAGGAUGUUGGGGUAAGUGAACUGUAUUGGGGUUGUGAUGCUAUUGAUGUUGCUGAGGCUGGUGGUGGUAUUGUAUAUGAGGUGUUGUAACUUAGCUGGUGUGGCAAAGAAGAACUAAUAUUUAGUUUCUGAAAUUGCAGUUGAGGUAAUUGUUCUUCUUAAAUUGAACUGGUAGAGUUUUGUUUUCUUCUGGGUUUUAUUGUUGAUGAAGUUGGGAAUUGAAAUGGUAUGAGAUGGAUGUGUGGUUGUGAUUUUGGCCUAUGUUAGAAUGAUGCAGGGGAUGGUUGAAGACCUUUAGAUGAAUGUUGUUUAGAUUGUGGCAGUAUAUGAAGUUGUUACAGUUUGGAUUUGAACUCCAACUGGUGGUUGUGAAUUUAAGGUUUAGUGGAAAAUGGAGUUGAGUUUCAGGUGGUAAUGAAUUUGAAUCCCAAUUGAGUACAAGUUGUUCUGGUGGUGCGGAAGUUGCAGGGGAUAUUGAGUUGAUGUUACAGGUAAUUGUGGUUGUUGAGUUGAAGUUACAGUGGACUGGGAUUGAACUGGAUUGUUUGAAUGGUUUGCUUGGUUGCAGUUCAUGGAGUUGGGAGUGAAGUUAUAUAUGCGCAAGUGGUAUUAUUAGUGUGGUGAAUGAAACUGAUAUUGGGAGUGAUGAUGUUUUGUUAGUGUUGAGAUCGAAUUACAGUUGGGAGUGAAGUGCAGUUGUACUUAUCCAACUGAGUUGUGCUUAUGAAUAAUUAUGAUGUUUGUUUGGUUUGGAUGUACUCUUGUAAUGAUAAGAUUAGUUUGGCAGAAUUGGAAAGGUGUAGUUUGGAGCUUGCUGCUACCGCAAAUGCAGGUAAGCUUAAUUGUAAUUGUAAAUGAAGUUUGAAGUUUGUUUAAGAUGAAUGGAUUAAUGUGAAACAAUGAUAAACAAGAUGUCAUUGUAUAAGAAUGAAGUCGUAAGGAAAUGAAAAUAAGUUCAAGAUUGUUUUGGUGCAAUCUAGUGAGCA